rnacentral:rRNA from 1 species
GACGAACGCUGGCGGCGUGCUUAACACAUGCAAGUCGAACGAUGAACCGGUUUCGGCCGGGGAUUAGUGGCGAACGGGUGAGUAACACGUGGGCAAUCUGCCCUGCACUCUGGGAUAAGCCCGGGAAACUGGGUCUAAUACCGGAUACGACACUCCGAGGCAUCUUGGGGUGUGGAAAGUUCCGGCGGUGCAGGAUGAGCCCGCGGCCUAUCAGCUUGUUGGUGGGGUAAUGGCCUACCAAGGCGACGACGGGUAGCCGGCCUGAGAGGGUGACCGGCCACACUGGGACUGAGACACGGCCCAGACUCCUACGGGAGGCAGCAGUGGGGAAUAUUGCACAAUGGGCGAAAGCCUGAUGCAACGACGCCGCGUGAGGGAUGACGGCCUUCGGGUUGUAAACCUCUUUCAGCAGGGAAGAAGCGAAAGUGACGGUACCUGCAGAAGAAGCACCGGCUAACUACGUG